rnacentral:rRNA from 1 species
CCCUACGGGGGGCAGCAGUGGGGAAUAUUGGGCAAUGGGCGCAAGCCUGACCCAGCGACGCCGCGUGAGGGAAGACGGUCUUCGGAUUGUAAACCUCUUUCAGCAGGGAAGACAAAAGGACGGUACCUGCAGAAGAAGCCACGGCUAACUACGUGCCAGCAGCCGCGGUAAUACGUAGGUGGCAAGCGUUAUCCGGAUUACUGGGUGUAAAGGGUGUGUAGGCGGGGCUGCAAGCCAGGAGUGAAAGCCCGGGGCCCAACCCCGGGACUGCUCUUGGAACUGCAUGGCUGGA